rnacentral:rRNA from 1 species
GAUGAACGCUGGCGGCGUGCUUAACACAUGCAAGUCGAACGAAACGCCUUAUUUGAUUUUCUUCGGAACUGAAGAUUUGGUGAUUGAGUGGCGGACGGGUGAGUAACGCGUGGGUAACCUGCCCUGUACAGGGGGAUAACAGUCAGAAAUGACUGCUAAUACCGCAUAAGACCACAGCACCGCAUGGUGCAGGGGUAAAAACUCCGGUGGUACAGGAUGGACCCGCGUCUGAUUAGCUGGUUGGUGAGGUAGCGGCUCACCAAGGCGACGAUCAGUAGCCGGCUUGAGAGAGUGAACGGCCACAUUGGGACUGAGACACGGCCCAAACUCCUACGGGAGGCGGCAGUGGGGAAUAUUGCACAAUGGGGGAAACCCUGAUGCAGCGACGCCGCGUGAGUGAAGAAGUAUCUCGGUAUGUAAAGCUCUAUCAGCAGGGAAGGAAAUGACGGUACCUGACUAAGAAGCCCCGGCUAACUACGUGCCAGCCGCCGCCGUAAAAC